rnacentral:rRNA from 1 species
UGAAACUGAUCUCCCCGUGAAGAAGCGGGGAUAAGUAUAUUANACGAGAAGACCCCAUGGAGCUUUAAACCCGACAGCACCCACUUAUUUAACACCUUCUUAUCCGCCUGGCCCCUGUCUGCUCGGUUUUGGGUUGGGGUGACCGCGGAGCAUAAAAUAGCCUCCACGAAAGAAGGGAUGAUUCCCUCAUUUUAGAACUACACUUCCAAAGACUAACAAAUUAAUUUUAAGUGAUCCGAUACCCGUAUUCGAUCAACGAACCAAGUUACCCUGGGGAUAACAGCGCAAUCUACCUCAAGAGCCCCUAUCGACAGGUGGGUUUACGACCUCGAUGUUGGAUCAGGGUAUCCCAGUGGUGCAGCAGCUACCAAAGGUUCGUUUGUUCAACGAUUAAAACCCU